rnacentral:lncRNA from 1 species
GGCUAGUUAUAUUCUCAAAUGAAUUUCAUUCUCAUUUUUGCAUAUAAAUAGAUGCUUUGUGUAGCUCAUUUAAGAAGAACUAAUAUUUGCACUAAACAUUGUCAAAAAUACUUUUACAUCACUCUCAUUAUUUUUACACUUGCUAAUUUAUUAUCUUGAGAGCUAUUUUAUACUACAUAGUUUAUCUUGUAGUUCUUGUGCUUCAAUUUGUUAUAUCUACACAUUUGGUGUAUUACUUUAUUAUUGUAAUUCUUAUUUGUAUUGGGUGUGAUCCCAAGGUUUCAAGAGAGGUGAUAUCUCUUGGGUUUAGAGGCUCUUCUACAAAGGAUUGUUUUGUUUGGUGAGUGCUCGCUAUCUUGUAAAGGUUACUAGCUUAUCCCGUUUAAAAGCUAGGUUAGUGAAAAUCUCAAGGGGCUUUUUCUUGGGGACUAGACGUAGGCCUUGGUGUUUUAGGCCGAACUAGGAUAAACUUCUUGUGUCUUUUUCUCUCAUCCCUUUAUCUCUUUUACUUUAUUUGUCAUUUAUUUUAUCUCACC